CCUACGGGAGGCAGCAGUGGGGAAUCUUGCGCAAUGGGCGAAAGCCUGACGCAGCCAUGCCGCGUGAAUGAUGAAGGUCUUAGGAUUGUAAAAUUCUUUCACCGAGGACGAUAAUGACGGUACUCGGAGAAGAAGCCCCGGCUAACUUCGUGCCAGCAGCCGCGGUAAUACGAAGGGGGCUAGCGUUGCUCGGAAUUACUGGGCGUAAAGGGAGCGUAGGCGGAUAGUUUAGUCAGAGGUGAAAGCCCAGGGCUCAACCUUGGAAUUGCCUUUGAUACUGGCUAUCUUGAGUACGGAAGAGGUAUGUGGAACUCCGAGUGUAGAGGUGAAAUUCGUAGAUAUUCGGAAGAACACCAGUGGCGAAGGCGACAUACUGGUCCGUUACUGACGCUGAGGCUCGAAAGCGUGGGGAGCAAACAGGAUUAGAUACCCUGGUAGUCCACGCUGUAAACGAUGAGUGCUAGUUGUCGGCAUGCAUGCAUGUCGGUGACGCAGCUACGCAGUUAAGACGACUCCGCCGUCGGGGAGGUACGGUCGGUCGAGAGUUAAACGUUACGUAAGAAGUUAGACGGCGNGAGACGNGCCGACGGACGACGACGAGGGAGGAGG
rnacentral:rRNA from 1 species